UUACGCCCUUGAUCACUGAAAAAGCCUACAAGUCCCAUAUAUAUCGUUUGGUAGCCAUGAAGGUUAAGCGCUUAAGUUUUUGUUUCUCUGCCAAGCAACAGUGGGGAUAUGCGAGUCAACAUAUGAAAUGAGUGACAACAUACACAAAACCAGCAGGGGUUGUCCCGGACGACCCCAAACGCCCCCGGGCUGUGGUACGCCGACCAGCCGUUAACCCCUCUCGGUCUGCCGCACAUUUAAGCUAGCUGAAGUUACUUACGACACAAGAUAAAUUAGACGGCAAUUAUAUUAGCUUAAAGUAAAUGUGAAGUUAGCUGGUGGUCCUGGGAAGCUUGACGUUAGCUGUGUCACGACAAAACAAACACUACUAAACUUUCCCCAAACGAAACACCUCGGAGGCUGUUCCACUGAGGAGACGUGUCGAUGCCCCACAGUAUCCACAGCCUGUUGUGUGAGCCAGUAGAGGGAGUCCAAGGCUUAAAUCCUGCUUCUGCGUUUUGAUUCUGCCAGGAGCUCAGCCUUUGAAUCAGAUGGUCAUCUUGUCUUUGCUGCCACAGAAAAGGACGCCUUUGGACUUGGCUGAGGUCAGCGGCGGAGGAGUACACCACGCUGAGAGGUGUGAUGUGGCUCUGUUGGUUUGACCCACACCUGCUGCGUAUCCUUCACUCAAGCACCAGAGGGGUUACAGAGAGGCUGGAGCCUAUCCCAGCAGACUGGAGCGAGAGGCGGGGUACACCCUGGACAGGUCGCCAGUCUAUCACAGGGCUGACAUCUAGGGGCAAUUUAGAGUGUCCACUUGGCCUAAAAUGCAUGUCUUUGGAGUGUGGGAGGAAACCGGAGCACCCGGAGUAAACCCACGCAGACACGGAGAGAACAUGCAGACUCUACACAGAGAGACAAACCUCCCUCUGCGCAGGUACAGUGCUAACCACUCCACCACCGUGCUGCCCACAUAGUGACGGGGAAUUUGGAGUGACGGAAAAUACCAGCAAAUGUCUGAUUCCUCUCCCGCUGCAGCCACAUUUGCGUCCGCAGCUCCUCUUCACCUGGCAUGGAGGAGGUUUACUGGGGGGAAGUAU